GGUAGGGCAGGAUAUUUUGUUGAUUGUAGUUGUUGCUUGGGGAUCCCCCCACCCCCUUCGGAGAGUUUUUUUUUUUUCUUUUCUUUUGUGCCAGUCAAAAAUGGAAAGGGACAACUUCGGGCGGACGCUGCCGGGCGCGCUCUCUCGCUCCCCACCGCCCCAGCCCUGUCACCUCGGCCGGUUGGCCGGCCAGGAAGCCUGCCGCGUCCUCGGAGCGGCCCUCCCUGCGCUUGGACUCCUUCAGAGGAGGCAACGCGGUCUGGCUCUUCACUGCGCCUGGCCGAGCAUCCUGGCUUCAGUCACAACUCGCGGCCGCUUGGGCGCGCAGCCCCGCAUCGCUCGGCCCACGCUCCCGCUGCCUGUGUUCUGGCCUCACAGACGCUUGACUUUUUUUCCCCUUGUCUCCCCUCUUUUUUUAUGCGGUGGCAAAUCUGGGUUUUCUUCCUAGUCUCCUUCCUUUCUUUUUCCCUCCCUUUUUCUUUUCCUUGGUUAACGCGAGAAGCCAGUGGGAGGGGGCGUCUUGGAGAGCUUUAGAAUGUCCUGGUGCUGCGGCUACAGAAGGCCAGCGGCUGGAACAGUUCGGCGCGGAUUGCCGGUGUCGCUGUCCCGCCCGCUGGUUCCUUGUUGGCUCUCCCGGAGCGCGCGUCCCUCGGUCCCUGGUCUCCUGGCCCAGUCUUCGGCGCGUCUCUCCCCAGCUUCAGCGGCUCGGUCACUGCUCCUGGCUGUUGGCUGAGCCCUGGAAGCCCCCUCGCCUUAAUGCAGCGCCCGCCGACGUCAUGGCAGCAUGCGACCAAUCAGCGCCUCGCGGUCCCUCUGUAAACCAUUCUGCGUACCCCCCGGCCGGGGAGAAUGCGGGGAGACCGCGUUUAGAGGAUCAGUGGCGGCAGGCCCGCGCGGUGCCGGCGACUAGCAGCGAGAAGUCCCGGCUUCUUCCAGGUUUGGAGAUGGCAUUGGGGGACCAACCUCCCGAGGUUGUGAGGAUGACAACAGUACUCUGUGAUGCUGUCCUUCCUCAGGUUGGCUGCCAUCCCUGCUGAUGGAGAGACUGGAGACUGUCAGAGAAGAUUGUGCCGGUGGCUACUUAGCCGGUAUUAAUUGUAUUUGCAGAGUAGGGAUGCAGAGGCCUCCCAGUGAAGUGUGAAGGGAUGGGCCUUAACCAGGGUUGAAGAAAAAAAGUGAAGAAGGGAGAACCCAAGAAAAGGUGGGGACAGUUGGGACUUCUGAUUACAUUCUUCUGGUACACUUCUUUUGUAUGUUAUCAUCUCCAAAUUUCACAUUUAUUGUAGAAAUCUGCAGUGUGUAUGCCCCGGCCAAAUGCUGCUUGGCUAAAAAAGUGUUAAAUAAAACUGUAAGAAAUGCUA